rnacentral:pre_miRNA from 1 species
CAUGCACCAGUGGGGUCCCUCGGCCUGGCCUGUGCCCUCUCACAAUCCAGGACCCCUUGGGGGAUGUCAGAGAGUCGGUUUUGGCCCAAUCCCUGCAGGCCAGGCUGAGGGACCCCACUGCUGCAUG